rnacentral:rRNA from 1 species
GGCUGGCUCAUAAGUCUAUACUGCAAGUCGAGCGGACAGAUGGGAGCUUGCUCCCUGAUGUUAGCGGCGGACGGGUGAGUAACACGUGGGUAACCUGCCUGUAAGACUGGGAUAACUCCGGGAAACCGGGGCUAAUACCGGAUGGUUGUCUGAACCGCAUGGUUCAGACAUAAAAGGUGGCUUCGGCUACCACUUACAGAUGGACCCGCGGCGCAUUAGCUAGUUGGUGAGGUAACGGCUCACCAAGGCGACGAUGCGUAGCCGACCUGAGAGGGUGAUCGGCCACACUGGGACUGAGACACGGCCCAGACUCCUACGGGAGGCAGCAGUAGGGAAUCUUCCGCAAUGGACGAAAGUCUGACGGAGCAACGCCGCGUGAGUGAUGAAGGUUUUCGGAUCGUAAAGCUCUGUUGUUAGGGAAGAACAAGUGCCGUUCAAAUAGGGCGGCACCUUGACGGUACCUAACCAGAAAGCCACGGCUAACUACGUGCCAGCAGCCGCGGUAAUACGUAGGUGGCAAGCGUUGUCCGGAAUUAUUGGGCGUAAAGGGCUCGCAGGCGGUUUCUUAAGUCUGAUGUGAAAGCCCCCGGCUCAACCGGGGAGGGUCAUUGGAAACUGGGGAACUUGAGUGCAGAAGAGGAGAGUGGAAUUCCACGUGUAGCGGUGAAAUGCGUAGAGAUGUGGAGGAACACCAGUGGCGAAGGCGACUCUCUGGUCUGUAACUGACGCUGAGGAGCGAAAGCGUGGGGAGCGAACAGGAUUAGAUACCCUGGUAGUCCACGCCGUAAACGAUGAGUGCUAAGUGUUAGGGGGUUUCCGCCCCUUAGUGCUGCAGCUAACGCAUUAAGCACUCCGCCUGGGGAGUACGGUCGCAAGACUGAAACUCAAAGGAAUUGACGGGGGCCCGCACAAGCGGUGGAGCAUGUGGUUUAAUUCGAAGCAACGCGAAGAACCUUACCAGGUCUUGACAUCCUCUGACAAUCCUAGAGAUAGGACGUCCCCUUCGGGGGCAGAGUGACAGGUGGUGCAUGGUUGUCGUCAGCUCGUGCCGUGAGAUGUUGGGUUAAGUCCCGCAACGAGCGCAACCCUUGAUCUUAGUUGCCAGCAUUUAGUUGGGCACUCUAAGGGGACUGCCGGUGACAAACGGAAGAAAGUGGG